CGAACGCUGGCGGCGUGCUUAACACAUGCAAGUCACGGGGGCCCGCAAGGGUAACCGGCGAACGGGUGCGUAACACGUGAGCAAUCUGCCGUCCACUGGGGGAUAGCCGGCCCAACGGCCGGGUAAUACCGCAUACGUUCAUCGGGUGGCAUCACCUGAUGAGGAAACCUCCGGGGGUGGACGAGGAGCUCGCGGCCUAUCAGCUAGUUGGUGGGGUAAUGGCCUACCAAGGCGAUGACG
rnacentral:rRNA from 1 species